rnacentral:rRNA from 1 species
UACGAAGGGGGCUAGCGUUGCUCGGAAUCACUGGGCGUAAAGGGUGCGUAGGCGGGUCUUAAGUCAGGGGUGAAAUCCUGGAGCUCAACUCCAGAACUGCCUUUGAUACUGAGGAUCUUGAGUUCGGGAGAGGUGAGUGGAACUGCGAGUGUAGAGGUGAAAUUCGUAGAUAUUCGCAAGAACACCAGUGGCGAAGGCGGCUCACUGGCCCGAUACUGACGCUGAGGCACGAAAAGCGUGGGGAGCAAACAGG